rnacentral:rRNA from 1 species
UACAGAGGGGGCAAGCGUUGUUCGGAAUUACUGGGCGUAAAGGGCGCGUAGGCGGCCUGUUAAGUCGAACGUGAAAUCCCCGGGCUCAGCCCGGGAACUGCGUCCGAUACUGGCAGGCUUGAAUUCGGGAGAGGAAUGUGGAAUUCCAGGUGUAGCGGUGAAAUGCGUAGAUAUCUGGAGGAACACCGGUGGCGAAGGCGGCAUCCUGGACCGAUAUUGACGCUGAUGCGCGAAAGCCAGGGGAGCAAACGGG